AUGACAAUUUCUCCGGAAUCUCUGCCACUUACUUUGAUGAUUUCCGUUGAACCCUUUUCCAGCUGACGACUGCAUAAUCUGUGA